UACAGAGGUCUCAAGCGUUGUUCGGAUUCAUUGGGCGUAAAGGGUGCGUAGGUGGCGGGGUAAGUCAGGUGUGAAAUCUCGGAGCUCAACUCCGAAACUGCACUUGAUACUGCCUUGCUCGAGUACUGGAGAGGAGAUUGGAAUUUACGGUGUAGCAGUGAAAUACGUAGAUAUCGUAAGGAAGACCAGUGGCGAAGGCGACUCUCUGGACAGUUACUGACACUGAGGCACGAAGGCCAGGGGAGCAAACAGG
rnacentral:rRNA from 1 species